AAUAGAUACCCCGGUAGUCCACGCCGUAAACGUUGGGCGCUAGAUGUGGGGAUCUUUCCACGGUUUCCGUGUCGUAGCUAACGCAUUAAGCGCCCCGCCUGGGGAGUACGGCCGCAAGGCUAAAACUCAAAGGGAAUUGACGGGGGCCCGCACAAGCGGCGGAGCAUGCGGAUUAAUUCGAUGCAACGCGAAGAACCUUACCAAGGCUUGACAUACACCAGAACACGCUAGAGAUAGCGGACUCUUUGGACACUGGUGUACAGGUGGUGCAUGGUUGUCGUCAGCUCGUGUCGUGAGAUGUUGGGUUAAGUCCCGCAAUGAGCGCAACCCUCGUCGCAUGUUGCCAGCACGUUAUGGUGGGGACUCAUGUGAGACUGCCGGGGUCAACUCGGAGGAAGGUGGGGAUGACGUCAAAUCAUCAUGCCCCUUAUGUCUUGGGCUUCACGCAUGCUACAAUGGCCGGUUACAAAGGGCUGCGAUGUCGUAAGGCGGAGCGAAUCCCAAAAGCCGGUCUCAGUUCGGAUUG
rnacentral:rRNA from 1 species